UUAGUGCUUGCACUAGAUGACGACCGGCGCACGGGUGCGUAACGCGUAUAGAAUCUACCUUUUACAGGGGGAUAGCCUUUAGAAAUGAAGAUUAAUAUCCCAUAGUAUUGCGAAGUGGCAUCACUUUGUAAUUAAAGAUUUAUCGGUAAAAGAUGACUAUGCGUCCUAUUAGUUAGUUGGUAAGGUAACGGCUUACCAAGACUUCGAUAGGUAGGGGUCCUGAGAGGGAGAUCCCCCACACUGGUACUGAGACACGGACCAGACUCCUACGGGAGGCAGCAGUGAGGAAUAUUGGGCAAUGGAGGUAACUCUGACCCAGCCAUGCCGCGUGCAGGAAGACUGCCCUAUGGGUUGUAAACUGCUUUUAUACAGGAAGAAACACUGCUACGUGUAGCAGCUUGACGGUACUGUAAGAAUAAGGACCGGCUAACUCCGUGCCAGCAGCCGCGGUAAUACGGAGGGUCCGAGCGUUAUCCGGAAUCAUUGGGUUUAAAGGGUCCGCAGGCGGUCAAUUAAGUCAGAGGUGAAAUCCCAUAGCUUAACUAUGGAACUGCCUUUGAUACUGGUUGACUUGAGUCAUAUGGAAGUAGAUAGAAUGUGUAGUGUAGCGGUGAAAUGCAUAGAUAUUACACAGAAUACCGAUUGCGAAGGCAGUCUACUACGUAUGUACUGACGCUCAUGGACGAAAGCGUGGGGAGCGAACAGGAUUAGAUACCCUGGUAGUCCACGCCGUAAACGAUGGACACUAGUUGUUGGGCAUUAGCUCAGUGACUAAGCGAAAGUGAUAAGUGUCCCACCUGGGGAGUACGAUCGCAAGAUUGAAACUCAAAGGAAUUGACGGGGGCCCGCACAAGCGGUGGAGCAUGUGGUUUAAUUCGAUGA
rnacentral:rRNA from 1 species